CGAGCGGGCUGCAGUUUGAGGCGCCGAUGCAGAGCUAGGAGAACCCCUUAAGCAUGCAGACAACUACACGACAGAAGUGAAGAGCGUUUACCAGCGGCGGCGGCGGCGGCAGCAGCAGCAGGUUGAGCAGCCGGAGCUCCUCACACCAUCUCCGUGAGUGUUGUAACCCACCCUAGGCCCUGUGGUGAAAGCCAGCAGAAAAGUCAAGGAUCGUGAUGGAAAUGGAUACUCUUCACUUUGCUCAGGAUAUACUUGGUACUCACAGGGAAGAGUUGAACAUUACAGCCUUUUAUUUCUGUGAUCUAUAGAAUCAGAGGGAGGCAAUGACUACCUACUCCAAUGAACAGUCCAGUUGCUGAACCAUAAGUAAGGAUGACUCCUGGGAAUACUGUCAUCUCUCCCAAAAUAUUUCAUGGGAUGCAGGUGGUGCUGUGGUCUAAACCACCGAGCCUAGGGCUUGCCGAUCAGAAGGUUGGCGGUUC